rnacentral:rRNA from 1 species
AUUGAACGCUGGCGGCGUGCCUAACACAUGCAAGUCGAACGAGAACGCCCGGCUUCGGCUGGGCUAGUAAAGUGGCGCACGGGUGAGUAACGCGUAGGUAACCUGCCCCUGUGUUCGGGAUAACAGUGCGAAAGCGCUGCUAAUACCGGAUACGGCCUUUGAGCGGCGGCUCAAAGGUCAAAGUCGGCCUCUCGAUGAAGCCGGCGCGCGGGGAUGGGCCUGCGUCCUAUCAGCUUGUUGGUAGGGUAACGGCCUACCAAGGCUUCGACGGGUAGCUGGUCUGAGAGGAUGAUCAGCCACACUGGCACUGAAACACGGGCCAGACUCCUACGGGAGGCAGCAGUGGGGAAUAUUGGACAAUGGGGGGAACCCUGAUCCAGCCAUGCCGCGUGUGUGAAGAAGGCCUUAUGGUUGUAAAGCACUUUAAGCGAGGAGGAGGCUCUUUUGGUUAAUACCCAAGAUGAGUGGACGUUACUCGCAGAAUAAGCACCGGCUAACUCUGUGCCAGCAGCCGCGGUAAGAC